rnacentral:misc_RNA from 1 species
GGGGGCGGCAAUAUUAGAGAAAUUAAUGCUCCUACGGUCUAGAUUCCCCAUAUGACAAUUCAUGCUGCUCUAAUCCUUAAGGUAUAGUUCUAAUGAUGCAAUUUUACAAGUCCAAAGUUGUAGCACCUUGCAGAAAACCGAUGGGAUAACACCAAUUAUAAAAUAGCCAAUGCUGACCCACGGCCUCAAAUAGCCAGCUUUACGGCUUUUCCUAAAGACCCUACAGAAAAUUGAAUAGACAAAGUCGACAUAAAAGCUAAAGUGUAAUUGAGUAGGCAUUGCUACCACUUUUGCAAAAUAAAUAGAGGAAUAAUGUGAUAAGUAGGCUCUAUUGCCACUUUCAUUAAUAAAUAAAAAGCCUAAACAUGGCUUAUAGUUCAACAAAUAUCCAAGUAUUUACGUAUAUGCUAAAUUUAUUACAUUAAGAUAUAACAACUAAAGCAUACAGAAAAAUUCUUGGAGGAAGCUUGGAGUUAGUAAGUAGCUCUAGAACAAAAAUGGGAAAGACAACUCCCUAGUAUUUGAUACUGGCACUUAACGAGGAAACGUCAGAGACCUAGACUUACAUUAUUUGCAAAAAUAAAAAUAAAGAAAUGAGGUUAGACACAUGUGAAAAGUACUUGAGGAAAUUAGCUCUUCAAAUUUACAAUGGUUUUUGGAGACUGUAGGUACUUAUAGGAACCUUAACAAGAGCGGACGAAAGUUAAGCACUUGCAGAAAUACCUGCAGAGGUAUCAGGUUCCAGGUACUUCUAGAGACACUUGUGGGUUAGCAAAGAUACCUGGUUAGUAAAGAUUUUAAUAGUCUCUUUUGCAAUACAAACAUCCAAAAAAUUGGCUUUUCAAUAUUUAGCCAAUUUCCAACACAAAAAUGAACACAACCUGCAAACACAUAAUAUAAAAUAGAGCAAGAUUCAUCCAGCAGGCAUAAAAGUGACAAAAGUACUUAUACCAAGUGUUGGUACUUAAAUGCAGAUGUUGAGAUACUAUAGUAGGGGAACUGGUACUUACAGAGCUACAAAUACUGGUGAGGUGGCAGACACGACUGGUACCUGCAAACCCGAAAGGGAGUAUGAUGCCAUCUCUACCAAUACAAAUAAUAAGGGCAUGUCAAAUAUGCAUUCCUAACAAUAGUCAAGCAGAAACAUAGGUAUCAAUAUGCAAAUUCAAUAUAUAGUAUUUAACAGAUGCAAACAAUAUGUAGGUACCGAUCAACAUAUUAUUGGUACUUGUGAAAUUCCCAAAUCCAGGGACAAUCAACAUUACCCAUUCAAAUUCUCAACUACUGCAUUAUAAAAUUAGCAUCAAAAGUGUCAUGAAAGUUCUUGAUUUUACCCAAAAUCGACUUUGAGAAUGAAGAAGAGUUGAUGAAUGAUGACUAUGGGAAUAGCUCAAUGAUGAAUGGUUGAUGAUCGGAUAAGAGAAUCAUGAGAUGAAAGGUAGCCUGUUGAAUGAGAAAUCACAGAAAGGAGGAUUGACAGCCAAGAAUGGAGGCUAGAGGAGAACCACACCAUGGUCGAUGACCAAAGCUAAGAGAUGAACAGCGAGGAAUGGGUAAGCGCGCCGAACGGGAGAAAAAAAUGGAGAAGGAAAGAAAGAGAAAGCAAAAAUAUGAGUGAGAUGAUAUUGGAUUUUAAUUUGAUAGUUAUGGAAGAAUGGAGAAAGAGGAGACGAUAAUGUGAAAAUGGAUUUAAGAUUCAUUAAUAUUGUGGGAAAGAGUGAUUUGCAGUGAUUACAAUUCUAUUGAAAGUUUG